rnacentral:piRNA from 1 species
UUGUCAAUUCAAAAAUUUCUU